UGUUGCAAAAGAAGUAGGUAGCUUAACCUUCGGGAGGGCGCUUACCACUUUGUGAUUCAUGACUGGGGUGAAGUCGUAACAAGGUAACCGUAGGGGAACCUGCGGUUGGAUCACCUCCUUACCUUAAAGAA
rnacentral:rRNA from 1 species